AACACCAAGGAAUCGGUGAUCUUCAGGAUGAAGAGUUGGCAGCUAGGAUAGCCGUCAGCAGGAAGCGAAGGACAUUGUACGGAUACAACAGUGGCUAGGAUGGUUACUGCAAGGGAACGACAAUGGACACCUCUAGGAAGAGGUAGGACAGCAUCAGGAUGAUGUCAUGGACACCGCUCAAGGAACAAGUGAUGAGUGCUAACGAGGAUUGUUGGCUAUCAGGACGACUAGGACACCGCUAGGACGGCGAAGUACGGAAAUGCUGAUGGAUUCAGCCACUAUUAUGGAUGAUGCAUGGAGCACGACAAGUAGCCGGACUGCUGCGAGUAAGACUAUAACCCCGAUACGCAAGUGUCGGGGUUUUUCUUUUGU
rnacentral:other from 1 species